rnacentral:lncRNA from 1 species
CUGAUAAAGUCAUGCCGAUUGUAAGAUACGCAGUUUUUCUCUGCUUUCAAGUCUUUCUGUUUGAACCCGUCGAACUGAAACAAUAAUAUUAAUUAUUUGGAAAACAAAAGGUCCUGGAAUGGAGUAUUUUUUUAAUCAACAGCAUUGUCCUAUAUAAGUUAUAAAUAAAGUUGAAUUCUUUGCUUCGCUGUUUUACGUCAUGCCCACUAACAAAUUGAAAACUGUACCUAUACGCCUUAUUUUUAGUCCAGAUUUUUAGUAUUCGUAUUGUUAUCUUAGAAAGUCUUACUGAUCAAAAUACUACAAUAGGUAACAAUUUGACAAUUUAGUAGUGUCAACCCUGUGGUUAUGACCCGUGUAUAUAGCAUAUUAAUCCUGAAUACAACGUUUGGUGGUGCGCCUGUCAGAUGCGGAACGUACAGAUAAGGUAAUAGGUAACAUGUGAAUAUACUAUUGGUAUCGGUAGCGGAUUCGACCCGGAACUUCUUAAUUAUUGGCAAUAUUAAUUACGUGGAAAACAAAAGGGCCUGGAGUGGUGUAAUUUUUAAUCUACACCUUUGUACUAUAUUAGUUAUAUAUAAAGUUGAAUUCUGUGAUUUGUCGUUUUUACGUGAUGACGGCUGACAAAUUGGACCUCGUAAUUUUAGUAUUAUAGAU